UACGUAGGGGGCAAGCGUUGUCCGGAUUUAUUGGGCGUAAAGAGCGUGUAGGCGGCCAUGUAGGUCCGUUGUGAAAACUCGAGGCUCAACCUCGAGACGCCGAUGGAAACCAUGUGGCUAGAGUCCGGAAGAGGAGAGUGGAAUUCCUGGUGUAGCGGUGAAAUGCGCAGAUAUCAGGAAGAACACCCGUGGCUAAGGCGGCUCUCUAGUACGGUACUGACGCUGAGGCACGAAAGCGUGGGGAGCAAACAGG
rnacentral:rRNA from 1 species